CUUAGAACCUAAUUAGGCUUCCCAACCUGCAAUCUAACGAGCUUGGUGAUGUGGCUGCCAAGUUUACAGCAGAUUCAAAGGCUGAUGGAAAUGUUUGGGGAUGAGACAGAGGCGAUGAUGGAACAACACUGUGAAGAGGUGGGUGUGCAUGUGUGCGUGUGUGUACACAUGCAUGUGUCAGACAGGCAUCCAUCCUAUCCAGGAGAUAGGAAACCAAGAAUGCAAAGACAACUCAGCAGAUCUGCUGGCAUGGAGGCGAGGCUGCAUGGAAGGAUCUGGAUUGGAUAGGAGUGUCCCAUUCAGGACAUGUGUCACUCAAAACCACACAACUCAGACUUGGGGAAUAUUCUAUGCCAGAACCACAGCACGGCUCCCCAUAAAAGUCAUCUUUAUGGACAGAUAUUUCAUGGCGGCAGCUUGAGAAGGCUCACGUUUCUUAGGCAGCUGGUGCAGAGCCAGGAGAGCUAAUCAUGAGAUCUUCCAGUCCCAGGACGUGGGCUGCAGCUGGCGGCUGUGGUCGUCUUAUAUCAAACUCUCAAGAGUCACAGGGCAGCAGCAUUGGCCCCCUCCCAAGUCAUUCCAGAUGGGAUUUAAGGUGGCUUAAUGAGCAUUCAUAAAAUACAGCAAGAGAACAUAAACU
rnacentral:lncRNA from 1 species